GACGAACGCUGGCGGCGUGCUUAACACAUGCAAGUCGAACGAUGAAGCCCAGCUUGCUGGGUGGAAGAGUGGCGAACGGGUGAGUAACACGUGAGUAACCUGCCCCUGACUCUGGGAUAAGCGCUAGAAAUGGCGUCUAAUACUGGAUAUGACCUAUCACCGCAUGGUGUGUAGGUAGAAAGAUUUAUCGGUUGGGGAUGGACUCGCGGCCUAUAAGCUUGUUGGGGAGGUAAUGGCUCACCAAGGCGACGACGGGUAGCCGGCCUGAGAGGGUGACCGGCCACACUGGGACUGAGACACAGACCAGACUCCUACGGGAAGCAGCAGUGGGGAAUAUUGCACAAUGGGCGCAAGCCUGAUGCAGCAACGCCGCGUGAGGGAUGACGGCCUUCGGGUUGUAAACCUCUUUUAGUAGGGAAGAAGCGCAAGUGACGGUACCUGCAGAAAAAGCACCGGCUAACUACGUGCCAGCCGCCGCAGUAA
rnacentral:rRNA from 1 species